rnacentral:rRNA from 1 species
AGUGAACGCUGGCGGUAGGCCUAACACAUGCAAGUCGAACGGCAGCACAGUAAGAGCUUGCUCUUACGGGUGGCGAGUGACGGACGGGUGAGGAAUACAUCGGAAUCUACUUUUUCGUGGGGGAUAACGUAGGGAAACUUACGCUAAUACCGCAUACGACCUACGGGUGAAAGCAGGGGAUCUUCGGACCUUGCACGAUUGAAUGAGCCGAUGUCGGAUUAGCUAGUUGGCGGGGUAAAGGCCCACCAAGGCGACGAUCCGUAGCUGGUCUGAGAGGAUGAUCAGCCACACUGGAACUGAGACACGGUCCAGACUCCUACGGGAGGCAGCAGUGGGGAAUAUUGGACAAUGGGCGCAAGCCUGAUCCAGCCAUACCGCGUGGGUGAAGAAGGCCUUCGGGUUGUAAAGCCCUUUUGUUGGGAAAGAAAAGCAGCAGGUUAAUACCCCGCUGUUCUGACGGUACCCAAAGAAUAAGCACCGGCUAACUUCGUG